GGGUUGUGAGGUUAAGCGACUAAGCGUACACGGUGGAUGCCCUGGCAGUCAGAGGCGAUGAAGGGCGUGCUAAUCUGCGAUAAGCGCCGGUAAGGUGAUAUGAACCGUUAUAACCGGCGAUACCCGAAUGGGGAAACCCAGUGUGAUUCGUCACACUAUCAUUAACUGAAUCCAUAGGUUAAUGAGGCGAACCGGGGGAACUGAAACAUCUAAGUACCCCGAGGAAAAGAAAUCAACCGAGAUUCCCCCAGUAGCGGCGAGCGAACGGGGAGGAGCCCAGAGCCUGAAUCAGCAUGUGUGUUAGUGGAAGCGUCUGGAAAGGCGCGCGAUACAGGGUGACAGCCCCGUACACAAAAGCGCAUGUGCUGUGAGCUCGAUGAGUAGGGCGGGACACGUGGUAUCCUGUCUGAAUAUGGGGGGACCAUCCUCCAAGGCUAAAUACUCCUGACUGACCGAUAGUGAACCAGUACCGUGAGGGAAAGGCGAAAAGAACCCCGGCGAGGGGAGUGAAAAAGAACCUGAAACCGUGUACGUACAAGCAGUGGGAGCCCCACCACUAAGCCAGUGGUGGACUCCACAUACGCAUCCUUUGCUGAGGAUACGGUUAACGGAGCGAAAGCGACGUUCAACCUCAAAAGAAGCAGAGGGGGCUUAGUGGUGGGGUGACUGCGUACCUUUUGUAUAAUGGGUCAGCGACUUAUAUUCUGUAGCAAGGUUAACCGAAUAGGGGAGCCGGAGGGAAACCGAGUCUUAAC
rnacentral:rRNA from 2 species